rnacentral:misc_RNA from 1 species
GUGAAAUCCCAAGCAAGAAGAGACCAAGGUCUAUGAUAGGGUUUGGAUGAAGUGGCAGGUGCCAUGAACCCAUGCUCAGGCCGAAGUAUACCCAUGAGAAGAAAGCUGCGAAUCCAAAGAGCAAAGACAAGGUGUUUAUGAAACUGAUGGCGAUUUUCUUGCUUUUGUUUGACAUUCUUCUCUUCAUUUGUGUAGUUUUUGGUCAAAG